rnacentral:rRNA from 1 species
UUGCACGCUGGCGGCAGGCCUAACCCAUGCAAGUCGAGCGGAUGAAGGGAGCUUGCUCCUGGAUUCAGCGGCGGACGGGUGAGUAAUGCCUAGGAAUCUGCCUGGUAGUGGGGGAUAACGUCCGGAAACGGGCGCUAAUACCGCAUACGUCCUGAGGGAGAAAGUGGGGGAUCUUCGGACCUCACGCUAUCAGAUGAGCCUAGGUCGGAUUAGCUAGUUGGUGGGGUAAAGGCCUACCAAGGCGACGAUCCGUAACUGGUCUGAGAGGAUGAUCAGUCACACUGGAACUGAGACACGGUCCAGACUCCUACGGGAGGCAGCAGUGGGGAAUAUUGGACAAUGGGCGAAAGCCUGAUCCAGCCAUGCCGCGUGUGUGAAGAAGGUCUUCGGAUUGUAAAGCACUUUAAGUUGGGAGGAAGGGCAGUAAGUUAAUACCUUGCUGUUUUGACGUUACCAACAGAAUAAGCACCGGCUAACUUCGUG